AGUCCUAUCUGUGUCUCUGACCUGCUCCGCCCCAUUCCCACCUGUCUCACAUUCCAGCAGUUCCUGGGGGUAUAUAUGUCCUUGCACUGGUAGCAGCCAGUAUGGGCAUACCCAAUUACUAUCCCUAUCGAUGGGUUUGCUGGGCUCUGGUCUAGGUACCACCUGCCUCAGUGUCUGAUUUUAGGUUGCUUCUGCCUUUGUGUGGUUUUUCCCUGACAGCCAUCAGACUGAGUUCUUGUUCUCUGGAUUCCCUAUGCUUAAAUGUCAGUUUCUUCAAGCUGUGGUGUCAUUAUCCCAGUUUCGUAUUGCCUGUAUUUCAGAUCUUCUUGGCUAAAGCCGUGGAUGAAUCUUCUUGACGGAUUAGUGGAUAUCACUGCCUGCGCACCUGAGACCUCCAAAGGACACAUCUUGCUGCAGCGGCUGUGGAGUGUGACAAUGGUGUUUGUGUCAAAGCUAUCAAACGCCAUUAUCACACUAAUUAGCUACUGUUAGGCCAUAUUGAUGAUACCAAUACACCCUUUUUUUUAAAAAAACAUAUAUUAUUAUACUGUGCUGUACAAUGCCAUUAAUCUCUGUUAAGAAUGUAAUUAAAAAGUUAUCUCCCAA